CCCUUUUUUUUCUUCCUUGGCCCAAAUGCAAUCUGGCCCAAAAUUAAAAGAAGAAUACUCUCUUCCUCCAGCCCCUUCGUGCUCUCUCCCUCAUUCUCCACUUUCCAUUUCAACAUUCACACAAGAAUCCCAAUUUGAAAAUAGAAUCCCUAGAUUCCUCCUUUUCUUCCCCCUCUCGGCGAUUGUUCAUACCGCCGCCUCCGGUGUUUCUCGCCGGAGUGUGAGCUCGCCGUCGUGGCCCUCCAUCUAUCUUUCUCUUCCUCUUAGCUGCAAACUACUACACUACCCUCUCCAUCGGCUUCCCCCUAGGUUGCGUCGCCGUUCCUCCUUGGGCCGCCGGAGCAUCGCUGGCCCGAGCCCCUCGAUUCAUGGGGGUCGCCUGCGAUUCGUACCCGCCGGAUUCGGUGGGAGCAGCUCCCUCCUCGGCCUCCGUCGUCUCGCGCAACUGCCCUCGGGAUGCCGCCGUCCGCGACCGCCCUCACUACUCCGACAGCCUGCAGCACCGCUAUCACCGGCGGUUUUCUCCGCUGCUGCCUCUCUGCGCUUGGCGUCGCACCGGGGCCGCCGCUUCACCAUCGGAGUAGCUGCUGUUUCGUAGGCAGCUCGCAGCUUCUGCCGACGCCACCCGCCCCUCCGUCGGCUAAGCUCGCAGCCUCCCUCGUCGUCCAGUAGCUAUGCCUCUAUACUCUUUUCUCUGUUCUGAUUCGGCUCUUCGUUUGAAAGGAUUAUUGUUCUAGGACUUACUGUUGAUGUCAUUAAGCUUAAGAAAUAGUCUAUGGUAUAUUUUUAAGCAUGUGUUGGUUGUUGAGUCUACAGUUAGUUAUUCGUUCAUCCUAAGUCCUUGAUCUAGGCUAUCUACUGUGUUUGCUUAGACAUGAUGCAUAGAGGUGUUGUGGUGUUUUACCUGUUACAAGUUGCAGUUGUCUUGAAAGGGGCCCUCUAGCUGGUUUUGCACCGCUUGUUGCUUUCUUACACUCAGAAUUUUGUUGUGCAUGGAAGGGAUGUUCGAUGUGUGUGAGGGUGGAUUUUAUAGGGAAAUGGUGUGUACAUCGUGAGGCUUGAUGUGCUGCUGCGUUCUUGUCCUAUCUUGCAGCCCCUUUAACUGCAUUUGGCACUUUGUAACUGCUUGGUACCUUGUUUACUUAUAGCAUUUGUUUCUUGUGGCAGGUGCUCAUCAAAGGUGGAAGGAGUCGGCUGUACCCUGCAGGUUGUUGCAACUGCCCUGUCUCGUGGCAGCCUUCCUUCUUACUGACUUUGGGUUACACACCCGAGCUGCUGUGUUGAUACAGCCUUAGGGCGGGUUUGCUGCCUUGGCCGACUGAUGUCAAGGUUCGGUCGAAGGCCGGGCCUAAGGGAAAAGGCCCGACGUUAGCGUCCCUUGCGUUGUAUUAGGAUCAAGCCCUCUUUUGUUUUCACUGUCAACAUUUGUAAAUUUAAACUUAGCUUGAAACUUGUGAAUUCCGUUUACUUAAGAAAUAAACAUUACUCUUUCGUAGUAUUGUACA